rnacentral:rRNA from 1 species
GAUGAACGCUGGCGGCGUACCUAAUACAUGCAAGUCGAACGGGAGACUUGAAUUCGUUCAAGUUGAGAGUGGCGCACGGGUGAGGAGCACAUGGCUGACCUGCCCUUCAGGGGGGGAUAACGGCUGGAAACGGCUGCUAAUACCCCAUACGCUCUUUGGGAUUAGAGGCCCGGAGAGGAAAGCCUUUGGGUACUGAAGGAGGGGGCUGUGGCCCAUCAGCUAGUUGGUGAGGUAACGGCUCACCAAGGCGACGACGGGUCGGGGGCCUGAGAGGGUGACCCCCCACACUGGGACUGAGACACGGCCCAGACUCCUACGGGAGGCAGCAGUAAGGGAUCUUGCGACAAUGGGCGAAAGCCUGACGCAGCAACGCCGCGUGCGGGAUGACGGCCUUCGGGUUGUAAACCGCUUUUCAGGGGGAAGAGGAAGGACGGUACCCCUGGAAUAAGUCUCGGCUAACUACGUGCCAGCAGCCGCGGUAAAACGUAGGAGGCGAGCGUUAUCCGGAUUUACUGGGUGUAAAGCGCGUGCAGGCGGUUCUGCAAGUGGGACGUGAAAGCGCCCGGCUCAACCGGGCGAGGCCGUUCCGAACUGCGGGACUGGAGGCAGGUAGAGGCGUGUGGAAUUCCGGGUGUAGUGGUGAAAUGCGUAGAGAUCCGGAGGAACACCAGUGGCGAAGGCGACACGCUGGGCCUGGCCUGACGCUCAGACGCGAAAGCAUGGGGAGCGAACGGGAUUAGAAACCCCGGUAGUCCAUGCUGUAAACGAUGCUGACUAGGUGUGGCGGGUAUGAACUCCUGCCGUGCCGGAGCCAACGUGGUAAGUCAGCCACCUGGGGACUACGGCCGCAAGGUUA